UACAGAGGUCUCAAGCGUUGUUCGGAUUCAUUGGGCGUAAAGGGCGCGUAGGCUGCGGGGCAAGUCGGGUGUGAAAUCUCAGAGCUCAACUCCAGAACUGCCUUUGAUACUGGUGAUCUCGAGUCCGGGAGAGGUGAGUGGAACUGCGAGUGUAGAGGUGAAAUUCGUAGAUAUUCGCAAGAACACCUGUGGUGUAGACGGCUCACUGGACCGUAACUGACGCUGAGACACGAAAGCGUGGGUAGCAAACAGG
rnacentral:rRNA from 1 species